rnacentral:rRNA from 1 species
ACACAUGCAAGUCGAGGGGAAACGACAUCGAAAGCUUGCUUUUGAUGGGCGUCGACCGGCGCACGGGUGAGUAACGCGUGUCCAACCUGCCCACCACUUGGGGAUAACCUUGCGAAAGUAAGACUAAUACCCAAUGAUAUCUCUAGAAGGCAUCUGAAAGAGAUUAAAGAUUUAUCGGUGAUGGAUGGGAAUGCGUCUGAUUAGCUUGUUGGCGGGGUAACGGCCCACCAAGGCGACGAUCAGUAGGGGUUCUGAGAGGAAGGUCCCCCACAUUGGAACUGAGACACGGUCCAAACUCCUACGGGAGGCAGCAGUGAGGAAUAUUGGUCAAUGGACGAGAGUCUGAACCAGCCAAGUAGCGUGCAGGAUGACGGCCCUAUGGGUUGUAAACUGCUUUUAUAAGGGAAUAAAGUGAGUCUCGUGAGGCUUUUUGCAUGUACCUUAUGAAUAAGGACCGGCUAAUUCCGUGCCAGCAGCCGCGGUAAUACGGAAGGUCCGGGCGUUAUCCGGAUUUAUUGGGUUUAAAGGGAGCGUAGGCCGGAGAUUAAGCGUGUUGUGAAAUGUAGACGCUCAACGUCUGCACUGCAGCGCGAACUGGUUUCCUUGAAUACGCACAAAGUGGGCGGAAUUCGUGGUGUAGCGGUGAAAUGCUUAGAUAUCACGAAGAACUCCGAUUGCGAAGGCAGCUCACUGGAGCGCAACUGACGCUGAAGCUCGA